GACGAACGCUGGCGGCGUGCUUAACACAUGCAAGUCGAACGAAGAGCGAUGGAAGCUUGCUUCUAUCAAUCUUAGUGGCGAACGUGUGAGUAACGCGUAAUCAACCUGCCCUUCAGAGGGGUACAACAGUGGGAAACGACUGCUAAUACCGCAUACGAUCUAAUCUCGGCAUCUAGGAUAGAUGAAAGGUGGCCUCUACAUGUAAGCUAUCACUGAAGGAGGUGAUUGCGUCUGUUUAGCUAGUUGGAGGGGUAACGGCCCACCAAGGCGAUGAUACGUAGCCGGUCUGAGAGGAUGAACGGCCACAUUGGGACUGAGACACGGCCCAGACUCCUACGGGAGGCAGCAGUGGGGAAUCUUCCGCAAUGGACGAAAGUCUGACGGAGCAACGCCGCGUGAGUGAUGACGGCCUUCGGGUUGUAAAGCUCUGUUAAUCGGGAAGAAAGGCCUUCUUGCGAAUAGUGAGAAGGAUUGACGGUACCGGACUAGAAAGCCACGGCUAACUACGUG
rnacentral:rRNA from 1 species